ACCAUAAAACAACAAACACUUAGAAUUAAUAAAUUACUAGAUUUAAUAGGUUCCCUAGCUCCUUGUGGAUUUGAUCCCUAAGUACUACAAUUGAACCUCUUAUUUGAGAGAGUAAUUCAGUCCUUAGGGUAAUUUGAGUGGUAUAAGAUGACAAGCUUGCGCACAUGCUGUUCAAAACGCGAAGUUACCAAUGCGAGUGGUGGAUAAGUGCUCUGCUCUGAACACGUAAGAGCUUACAACUAUGGUUCAUCAUCAAGAGGGGAAAAAUAUGUCAGAGAUCGCCCCAACUUCAAGAUCAAGAAACACCAAAAACGACAUAGGUGUUGUGACACAGAUGAUAUGUUAGGAGUGAACCUAAUCACCCCUUUGAUAUCUUAGAACCCAAGUUGCUUUGAUGCCAAUUAAGGUCCCUCUUGAAAGCUAAGAGAGUUUGUGAAAACAAACUAAUAAAACAAAACAAGGGUUACUAUAAUUUUCUCUUCUUCUUUCAUUCUCUUCCCAACUGAUACUUAAAUACAAAACUAAAGAAAUAAACUAACUACAUGAAACAUGAAACGUGGGUAAGAAGCAACACAUCCUCAUCUUAAGGAACCAUAAUCCCACUACAUAAAAAGUAAUAUGGAAACUAAUGGCCACGUUCACUUCUUUCUCAAAUAGUAUCUCAUGAUGAUAUAAGAGCACUGAGAGGCAAAUUAGAGAAUCGAUGACUCACAAAGAAUCAACCACAAAAGAAAAAUAAAGGGAAACUGAUGUAAGGAUGAUGCUAGGUGUUUCCAGAGUGUUCUUGAAGAUUUGGUCUGGUAAAGAGAGAACUAGAAGAGAUGAUAAGUAACUCAGGGACUUUGAACCAUGGUUCUGUUAAUGAUGAAUCUAAGUCUCCAUCCACACAAAAAAAGGAGCGUUAGAGAAGGCAGCAACAAGAAGAAAAAAAAAAGUUUCAUCUUUACUUAAACUAUUAUCAUUUUUUGUGUUAACAUAAUUACAUCUUUCCACGAUUUUAAAGCAUCUGAAAUAGUAAUGUUUCAUCUUCACCUUAAGUCUUUAAUUUUUUUUAUGUAACUUUGUACUUAAUGUACUAGAUCAAUCCUCAGUGUCGAAUAUAUAGCAGGCAACAAUCAUUUUCGUGAUAAUUUUGUUUAAUUUUAAACAUCACAUUACAUUAAUAUAGUAGUAACCCUGCACCAAGUCUGAUUCUCCAUCCGAUUGGGUAUUUGAAUCUUACGGUUUUGUUUUAUAUAUGGUCUCGAGCACAAUAUCUUGUUUCUUGUGCGUGCAUGGGUCCAUGAAUGGCCUGCGUGAGUCUCAUGGUCCCAUCUGUAUAUACCCUUAUGUUCACUUUCCCAGUAUCUGCUCAAAAAGAUAUAUCCGCUUGCGGAUAACAAGAGAGAAGCACAAGUUGUAAAGGAUUAACAAGCACUAUAUUAUAAGCUUCUCUUUUCCGGACUCCAAUUUCGAAAGCUUCACUCUUAACUCUUUCCUCCUUCAUCAUUCGGAAGGAAAUCAAAACUAAAAUGUUGGAGAUGAUGGGAAUGAGAUGUUUGAUUAGAUAGGAAUUAAACACUCUCUUUCAAUACAGCCAUCAAUGAAAAGAUUAAAAAGUUUAGUUACUUCCUUCAGGCCGCUGACAGGAAGACCUACAGAACAGGGCGCUUCCACAAUGCCUUGCUGAUAUUGUGGGGAGGACCUUCACAUUCCAACUCAAGCUUACAAAUUUUAAUUUCUUAGGAAAGAUCAGUCUUUCACGAUCUCACACAUAUUUGAUAGCAACCAGCCCCUACCUCUUCCUAAUUUUGAGAACCAGGAAGGACACAACAACCCAGGCGAAGAUGUGCGAGGAGCUGGUCCGGUUUCACAGAUUUCUCCAGCUGGUGUUCACAUACUUCUUCCUGACACUAGCACGGUGUUGACAAUGUUGUUCCUGCUAACAACAGAGGCAUCACCAAACUAUCUUCAAAGGAUGCCUCAGUUAAGGAAGGUGGCUCCUCUACAAAGAAGUAACGUUGUGGCUAAAUCUGCAA